UGGGGAAUUUUGGACAAUGGGCGAAAGCCUGAUCCAGCCAUGCCGCGUGCAGGAUGAAGGCCUUCGGGUUGUAAAGCUCUUUUAGUCGGAAAGAAAGAGUUGCAAUGAAUAAUUGUGAUUUAUGACGGUACCGACAGAAAAAGCACCGGCUAACUACGUGCCAGCAGCCGCGGUAAUACGUAGGGUGCGAGCGUUAAUCGGAAUCACUGGGCGUAAAGGGUGCGCAGGCGGUCUUGCAAGUCAGAUGUGAAAGCCCCGGGCUUAACCUGGGAAUUGCGUUUGAAACUACAAGACUAGAGUGCAGCAGAGGGGAGUGGAAUUCCAUGUGUAGCAGUGAAAUGCGUAGAGAUGUGGAAGAACACCGAUGGCGAAGGCAGCUCCCUGGGUUGACACUGACGCUCAUGCACGAAAGCGUGGGGAGCAAACA
rnacentral:rRNA from 1 species